GAUGAACGCUAGCUACAGGCCUAACACAUGCAAGUCGAGGGGUAACGAGAGGAAAGCUUGCUUUCCUUGUCGACGACCGGCGCACGGGUGAGUAACGCGUAUCCAACCUGCCCCCAACUAGGGAAUAACCUUGCGAAAGUAAGACUAAUACCCUAUAAUUUCCUCAGAUGUCAUCUGACGAGGAAUAAAGAUUUAUCGGUUGUGGAUGGGGAUGCGUCUGAUUAGCUCGUUGGCGGGGUAACGGCCCACCAAGGCAACGAUCAGUAGGGGUUCUGAGAGGAAGGUCCCCCACAUUGGGACUGAGACACGGUCCAAACUCCUACGGGAGGCAGCAGUGAGGAAUAUUGGUUAAUGGGCGGAAGCCUGAACCAGCCAAGUAGCGUGCAAGAUGACGGCCCUAUGGGUUGUAAACUGCUUUUAUACAGGAAUAAAGUUAGCCACGUGUGGUUAUUUGUAGGUACUGUAUGAAUAAGGACCGGCUAAUUCCGUGCCAGCCGCCGCCGUAA
rnacentral:rRNA from 1 species